UGCAGGCACUCAGACCAGGAACUAAUCAAGGAGCGAGGACAAGGAGCAGCUGGGGCGCCAGGCACAGCCUGGAACAAGUGGGUCACAACCCAGCCUGCCAAGAUGGGCCGGAGAGGAUGAUGGUCCAGGCUUUGUGGACAUUGCCCUGGGACUAAAGCUCCCAGAGUCCAGAGCCGAUAGAGUGGGACACCGAGAGAAGCCCAGGCCGGCCCUGGCCAGUCCGUGCACGGAGGAAGCCUCUCUCCUGUUUAAAUGACCAAUGGAACAGUCUGCAAACAGUUUGCAUCAUGAAGGCCAGCAGGAACAGGCAAGCCUCGGCAGGCUCAAGAAAAUGAAGGGAGAUGCAAUGGGAAGAUUUAGGGGUUCAGCCAGCACCAGUCAUGGGCCCAUAGAACCCAGAGGGCUUUGGAGAAUGGGUGUUGUCUGUCACGCAGGACCUGGUGAAGAUCCUGUGACUGCACAGUUUAACGUUUAAACCUCAUUUCCAUUUAUCAGUAUUCAGAAAAUCGGGCUUUUGUCCCUUCUUUCGCCAAGGUGUCACGGUUGUUUCCAGAAUGGCCACUAGGGUGCGCCAGAAGCCUUCCCUGGAUGCGAUACACAGCCGCAAGUUCUAAGCAAGGACAGAGUCUGUCUCCAUGAGUGUCUUAAGCUGCUCCUGAAUGAUCCUCAGUUUGGAUUUCCUGGGUGACAGAAUUUACAGAUGUGUUACAGUGAAAGUAUUUUUAAGGCACUGUAGCAGAGGCGCAGUAACCUCAGGCUGUCUGGCUGCAGAGUCCACAAGCUAACCCACCCUGCUACACUGGCUCAGCACACCAGAACCAUCAAAGUGAAAGACAGGAGGGAGAAGGCAGGAGGAGGACCCACAGGAGAGUCUCGGCACAGAGCCAACUGCGUCCCCGCACUCAGCUCCAACUCCCUCAGCCUAACACACUCCUUGCUUUCUCCAGGCUGCAAGCCAUCACAUGUUACAGGGGAACAGGAAGAGGGCAGAGCAAGAGCCUGUCCUGAAGGAUGCUGGGAACUAUUGCUUUGGCUUCUGACAUUCACUUGAGGUCUGUGCAUCACCCAGGCCGCCCAGAAGGAACAAGAAAGCCAAACUACCAUACAAUAGUCCCCGUGAUGCAAGGCUUUCCCCCCUGCUUGCUGGGGAACAGAGACAUCUCUGAUUGGGUCACCCCUGACAGUGCCUAACAGUUCCCAGAGGCCCAAGAUCUGGUUACUGAAGUCGGUACACCCCUAAAGCUGCGUGCACACUCUGUCCAUGUGCAUGGCAUCCCUGACUCUCGAAAGAAGCUGUGGUUUCACAAAGCAGUGGCACCCCACUUUGAGCACACACGCUGUGGAAGAAAUGCCCCACUUGGGUGGACACGCCUCUCUCCGAGCCUUCAGGAGAAGAACUGUGGAUAGAGGUCAGGUCCAAGGACUGGGUGUGGGAGCGAUGCCGCUCUCAAGUCCACCUCUGGGGCACGAUGCAGAGCCCUCGGAUGUGGGAGCGAUGCAGCUCACAAGUCCACCGCUGGGGCAUGAUGCAAAGCCCUCGGAAGGCUCAGGCACCCAAGUGUAUGCGAGGGGCUUGGGCAACGGACUGUUCACUAUGUGGAUGCAUUUCUGCAGCAAAAGCCAGGAGUCUCACUCAGACAAGGGUACGCUCCCCAUUGAAGGCCACUCCCAGAGCAGAACGUUAGGAGACUGGGGAGAGCCUGGUAGAUAGUAGAUGCUGAAUAAAUACUUACUGACUGAAUAAGAGUUGUUUUGGAAGAAACAGGUCACUGGCUGAUGAUCCCUGUAAAAACCAUGCCUACAAGUCCCCUUCCAAAUAAUAGCAACAGUAACUACCACACUGAUGCCUUGGCCGUGUGCAGGCUCUGUGCUGAGCAGCCCCAUCCUCCACCCUCCACUCACCACAACUGCCCCACUGUUAGUCCCAUCUCACACAUGCAGUAAUCAGGCCUCAGACAGGGCGAGUGGCUGGCUUAUUACCACACAGAUAAAGAAUCCUGUUUACCACAUGAA